UUUAUGCUUUUUAUCUCAUUCAUUUUUAUGUACUUUUCCAUGUUUAGUUACUCACACACUUGUGUUCAUUUCCCUUUAUAACUUUGAAUGAUGUUUGUGUACUUUGGUGCUUGUACCAUGGAUUCAAUGUUUGUUUUAACUCCUUCUUGAUCUAGAGACCUUGGUUAUUUGAAUAAUAUGUAUUUAUGAUUAUUUUUAUGUGAUGUUGCUUCCCAUUUUGGUUUGAUAACAUGUUGAUUGAUUUAGUUGUAUUCACAACUUAUUUUGAG
rnacentral:lncRNA from 1 species